GACGAACGCUGGCGGCGUGCCUAAUACAUGCAAGUAGAACGCAGUUGCGAACGGGUGAGUAACGCGUAGGUAACCGGACUCAUAGCGGGGGAUAACUAUUGGAAACGAUAGCUAAUACCGCAUACUGUGCGAUGGACCUGCGUUGUAUUAGCUAGUUGGUGAGGUAAAGGAUCACCAAGGCGACGAUAAAUAGCCGACCUGAGAGGGUAAGCGGCCACACAGGGACUGAGACACGGCCCAGACUCCUCCUGGAGGCAGCAGUAGGGAAUCUUGUGAAAUGGACGCAAUUCUGACCGAGCAACGCCGCUUGUGUGAAGAGGGUUUUCGGACCGUAAACCUCUUUUUUUGGAGAAGCGGUAUCUAACCAGAAAGCCACGGCUAACUACGUGCCAGCAGCCGCGGUAAUAC
rnacentral:rRNA from 1 species